UAAGCCGAAACAUGACCCACCAAAGAUUCUUCUUGGUAAUAAAAAAACAUCGCAAGCUAGAUUGAGGGGCUGCUCUCAUUUCUUACACUGUCAGCUUAUUGUUCUUUUUCAAGAUAUCCCAACCCUAGAAAUCAGCAACCAUGUCAUCCAAGCAAGGUGGAAAAGCUAAGCCUUUGAAAGCACCCAAGGCUGAGAAGAAGGAAUAUGAUGAGGAUGAUUUGGCUAAGCUCCAGAAGAAGAAGGAAGAGGAAAAGG